AAUACCAAAAAAGCAAGGAAACGAGAAAUAUGAUAUAAAAAUGAAGGGUUAUAAACUAAAAAUUAAAAAAUCGAUAACAUUAGAUAUAGUAGAAUUGUCGCGAUAAACAUGUCUAAUAACAGGCACAAUAAAGGAUAGAUCUGAAACAUUACACAAAACUAAUAUGAAAUAUAUUUCAAAAUAUAAGGAAAACAUUCUCAGAAAUCAACAAAUUAAUCAAUAUUACUUACAACUUGGCGCAGCUGCAGAUUCAAAUCUCUUUUGUAUCUGAUCAUAGGUAAAUUUAACAAAAGCAUCAUAUUGCUCAGAAAGCUUCAUAUUUAAGAUAUGAUCAUAUUCUUCUCGAAUCUGUGUCUCCUGCUCUUUAAGCAUUCGUUCACAAAUCAAUCCCACCUAUAAAAUCAUUUAAUUGAUCAGACUCUCUGUUUGAUAAACUAAUUAAAGUUUUAAGUUAUAAGUAACCUGUCUGAAUGUAAAUAAAGGUUUCUCUUUUCCACUAGGGCUAUAACUACAUGAAUUUGAACCACAAGCAGAUGGGCUUGAAGGACUGGCAGGGCCUUCCAUGUCUGAAGAAUCACCAGUAUUGUUUU